GUGCUUGUCCCUUAUCCUCGCAUUGUAAGGUGCUAUUAAGACAAAUUAAAAGAGGGAGUAGGUAAAGGAGUUGGCUAGACCAUUGAUUUUAAAGUCCUCAACCGUUGCCAUAUCUCCAUGUAACAAGUAAUCCCAUUAUUAGCUUGAAUAUAAGUCCUAAGUGAGACUAAUCGAAAGUUUUUUAAUUAAAAAAAAAAAAGGACUACAAUCUUAUACCCAAAAAAGAACAGAUUCGCAAUAUAGAGAUCAAGGGAGAAACUAGCAAAGUAAAGAUUAAAGUAGCAUAAUGGGUAGUCCCCACCGAUAUCCCAUAAGGAUGAAUUUAUGGUUUUCCGCCGUGAGAUUCGACAAUAGGAUAGCACAAAUAACGAUGACUCCAUGUGGUGCUACGCGGUCGUUCAGUCUUAAAAGUAAAACUUUCGGCUUCCGUGUUCAUGCAAAAACAAAGAAAGAGCAGAAGAGUUAGAGAAGAACAUAUGCUUUUUAACAGACAUGAAAGUCAGAUAGGAAAUAUUGAUCUUUCCAACUUGUAUUAAAAUAAAUAUGCUCACAUGCCAUGGUGACCAAAAUAUGAAGAAUCAACUCCUACUAAUAGAAAAUAGCUUCUUAAGUAAUAUUUCAAGUUAAGAUAUAAUUUAUCUUCUAUUGAGUAUUAUCCUAAAGUGUCUAAAUUAAAUGGGCAGACAAGGAUAUAUUCUACAGUUUCUAAGGCCACUUUUAGAUUAUUAACCGAAGGAUGUUAACAACAAAAAAGACUUGCAAGUUCUCAUCAGUAGCAUUCACUUCGUUAGCAAGAGUCUAUUUCAAAUGAGAUAUCAAAUUCUAUUGUUGUGGUUUCUUAGUGUUAAAAAAGGGUUGCAGAAAACUUGUUACUGGUGUAUCUACAUAGAAAAAGAAACAGAAAGCUAACACAUACCCACAACUAGCCAACGCCAUACUUUGAACAAAGUUUGUAAAAGAAAGCUAAUGGCAUGGUAUUUCAGUUAUCAAAAGUAAAAAAAUGUAGAGUCAUGUAAUUUGUUAUUUAGAGAUACAAUAGAUCACCUUAAAUAUCUUAACAGAUUAUACCCUUUUUAUAUCCGUUAUCUAAACAAGUGAAACAGUGGUCAGCUCCUAUUAGUACUACUGACAGCAAAAACCAAAAUCAUAGAGAAGUACUUAAACUAAGCAUGAAUAUUAUUGUUGCCCACUGUCGUCAUCUCUAUAAUUACCAAAAUAACCCACAGGCUAUGCUUUCUACCAUUAUUUUUACACUUCAAGAAUAUAGUUUUAAAAGUAUUUUAGAACAAGAUGGUUGUUAAGACAUGAAAUCCUAAAGAACAUGGUUUAUAUUACAUUUGAACAACGUCACUUCUUGUUGGGAACUGAUUCAAUUACUCUUUUAAGUUUAUUGGCUGGAUGAAGUUAUUUACUGUGAGUUGAAUAAGUCUUUUACUAGAGUUUACAGAGUCUUUAGGUUAGUUGCUAUUUUUUCUAAUUUGGUUGCUGUUUUUCUGGUCAUUUCCUAGAUUUUAGUUAAGUGGGUGUUAUGGAUAGAUAUUAUCUUUCCGAGCUUGUAAGCCUAUAAAAGGCACACCACUUUCCGUUAAUAAAAUAAGUCCUUCUACAUAAUAUCUCUUUUAGCUUCCCUGCAUCUUUAAGUUUUCUAGUUAAAGACAAUCUCUUUUUCUACACUUCUUUGAAUAGUCAAGAAAACAAUAGCAAAUAGCAUGGUUUGAUCAAUAAAGUUUUAACACAGCCAACUUGAAUACAACAUAACUUAAAACGUUGAUUCUUCACAUCACUUUAGUAUAAAAAAAAUAUCAUCUGUACAUUACACUACAACAGAUAAAACAUAAACCUAAGACAUGUUUUUUCUAAGCAAAUACAAUUUCCUUAAGGGAAAGAUCAGAACUAAAAAAAAGUUAGAUUUUACCUGUUGUAGGGCAGUGAACUAGGACGAUGUUGGCCUCGAAUCUACUCUCUCAUUAUGGAAAAGAUUCGAACCUCGAUCGGAAUGGUUCCAAAAUCUCUGUCACGGCUAAAGUUCACCGAGACAGAAAAGAAAAGUUUUGUAAGAGAGUCUUGAGUUAUUUGAGACUAUAUCAAAUGUGAUAGUGAUAAUGUAGUGUUCAAGAGGUGGCUAAUUCUUAUGUCUAGUCUAGGCGGCUAAAAAACCCCUCCUAAAUGGGUUCUAACAGGACAUAUUUAUAGUAGAAGAACUAGGGUCACAAAUUUUGAGCAGGAAUUUGAAAUCAAGGGUUUGAAUUAUAGUCAAAAUACCCGUUUGAAUCGGAACGUUGCGAUUCGGACAAGCCCUCAUGUGAUUUGGUCAAACAACUCGUGAUUCGCCUCAGGCCUUGCCCGAAAUUGUAAUAUUUGGUCUUACUUUUGAAGAUUCACGGGUUGUAAGACACCAAAAUACCUAGCCUGAUUAUAGAGCGACGAGAUUGCACGAAAUAGGGCGGAUACUAUAUGUUCGAGGCUGAUAAAGACCAAUUCUUUAGCCACAAAUAAACUUGGAGACAGAAUAGAAAUCUGCCAUGGAAGAGGGGGGACUGUGCGCUGGAGAGAGAGAGAGGGGGAGAGAAAGACUUAUUUUGUUCAAUGUGUAUUUUGGGUUUCAGUUGAUGCCUGAAAUUUGGG
rnacentral:lncRNA from 1 species